GCCCUGGUAGCUCAGAUGGUAAAGAAUCUGCCUGCAAUGCAGAAGACCUGGGUUCAAUCCCUGAGUUGGGAUG
rnacentral:tRNA from 1 species